rnacentral:rRNA from 1 species
UACGGAGGGGGCUAGCGUUGUUCGGAAUUACUGGGCGUAAAGCGCACGUAGGCGGCUUUGUAAGUUAGAGGUGAAAGCCCGGGGCUCAACCCCGGAAUUGCCUUUAAGACUGCAUCGCUAGAAUUGUGGAGAGGUAAGUGGAAUUCCUAGUGUAGAGGUAGAAAUUCGUAGAUAUUAGGAAGAACACCGGUGGCGAAGGCGGCCCACUGGAUCGGUACUGACGCUGAGGUGCGAAAGCGUGGGGAGCAAACAGG